rnacentral:rRNA from 1 species
UGGGGAAUUUUGGACAAUGGGCGAAAGCCUGAUCCAGCCAUUCCGCGUGCAGGACGAAGGCCCUCGGGUUGUAAACUGCUUUUGUACGGAACGAAAAGGCGCUUUCUAAUACAAGGCGCUCAUGACGGUACCGUAAGAAUAAGCACCGGCUAACUACGUGCCAGCAGCCGCGGUAAUACGUAGGGUGCAAGCGUUAAUCGGAAUUACUGGGCGUAAAGCGUGCGCAGGCGGUGAUGUAAGACAGUUGUGA